rnacentral:rRNA from 1 species
AUGGUGACAUCAAAGCCGAGCAGUACUAAUUACCCGAAGCUUUCUGAGCAAGUAUUAUUGUGGUGUUUUAUUUUUCGAUAUGGUCAAUAUGUUAAAGAUAUUAUUGGAUCUUAGAUAUAAGAUAAUUAGAUAUAAGAUAAUUAGAUAUAAGAUUAAUAGAUUUAAGAAUGUUAGAUUUUGGUUAAAGAAUCUGUUUUUAAGUUUUCUAAAGAUCUAAAAUCUAAAAAUCUAAGAGUCUAACCAACAUUCAGGUGGUUAUAGCGCAGGGGUUCCACCUCUUCCCAUUCCGAACAGAGAAGUUAAGCCCUGCAGCGCCGAUGGUACUGCGUAAAAGUGGGAGAGUAGGUCGCCGCCGACC